GACGGAGGAUGCAAGCGUUAUCCGGAAUGAUUGGGCGUAAAGCGUCCGCAGGUGGCAGUUCAAGUCUGCUGUCAAAGACCGGGGCUUAACUUCGGAAAGGCAGUGGAAACUGAACAGCUAGAGUAUGGUAGGGGCAGAGGGAAUUCCUGGUGUAGCGGUGAAAUGUGUAGAGAUCAGGAAGAACAUCGGUGGCGAAGGCGCUCUGCUGGACCAUAACUGACACUCAGGGACGAAAGCUAGGUGAGCGAAUGGG
rnacentral:rRNA from 1 species